UACGAAGGGGGCUAGCGUUGUUCGGAAUUACUGGGCGUAAAGCGCGUGUAGGCGGGUCUUUAAGUCAGGGGUGAAAUGCCAGGGCUCAACCUUGGAACUGCCUUUGAUACUGGAGACCUUGAGUCCGGGAGAGGUGAGUGGAAUUGCGAGUGUAGAGGUGAAAUUCGUAGAUAUUCGCAAGAACACCAGUGGCGAAGGCGGCUCACUGGCCCGGAAC
rnacentral:rRNA from 1 species